ensembl:rRNA 5S_rRNA 5S ribosomal RNA
GCUUACGGCCACACCGCCUGGUUCACGCCCGAUCUCGUUUGAUCUCGGAAGAUAAGAUAGGUUGGGCCUGGUUAGUACUUGGAUGGAAGACCGCCUAGGCAUACCAGGUGCUGUAAGGC